GAUGAACGCUGGCGGCGUGCCUAAUACAUGCAAGUCGAGCGAACAGACGAGGAGCUUGCUCCACUGACGUUAGCGGCGGACGGGUGAGUAACACGUGGAUAACCUACCUAUAAGACUGGGAUAACUUCGGGAAACCGGAGCUAAUACCGGAUAAUAUCUUGAACCGCAUGGUUCAAUAGUGAAAGACGGUUUUGCUGUCCCUUAUAGUUGGAUCCGCGCCGCAUUAGCUAGUUGUUAAGGUAACGGCUUACCAAGGCAACGAUGCGUAGCCGACCUGAGAGGGGGAUCGCCCACACUGGAACUGAGACACGGUCCAGACUCCUACGGGAGGCAGCAGUAGGGAAUCUUCGGCAAUGGGCGAAAGCCUGACGGGGCAACGCCGCGUGAGUGAUGAAGGUCUUCGGAUCGUAAAACUCUGUUAUUAGGGAAGAACAAAUGUGUAAGUAACUAUGCACGUCUUGACGGUACCUAAUCAGAAAGCCACGGCUAACUACGUG
rnacentral:rRNA from 1 species